UACGUAUGGGGCAAGCGUUAUCCGGAUUCAUUGGGCGUAAAGAGCGCGUAGGUGGCUUGUUAAGCGAGAUGUGAAAACCGGGGGCUCAACCCGCGGCCUGCAUCUCGAACUGGCAGGCUUGAGUCUGGUAGAGGAGUGUGGAAUUCCUAGUGUAGCGGUGAAAUGCGCAGAUAUUAGGAGGAACACCAGUGGCGAAGGCGGCACUCUGGGCCACGACUGACACUGAGGCGCGAAAGCUAGGGGAGCAAAC
rnacentral:rRNA from 1 species